CAACUUUCAACAACGGAUCUCUUGGCUCUCGCAUCGAUGAAGAACGCAGCGAAUUGCGAUAAGUAAUGUGAAUCGCAGAAUUACGUGAAUCAUCGAAUCUUUGAACGCAUAUUGCACUCUCUGGUAAUCCGGGGAGUAUGCCUGUUUGAGGGUCAGU
rnacentral:rRNA from 1 species